rnacentral:rRNA from 1 species
GAUGAACGCUGGCGGCGUGCCUAAUACAUGCAAGUCGAGCGAACGGACGAGAAGCUUGCUUCUCUGAUGUUAGCGGCGGACGGGUGAGUAACACGUGGAUAACCUACCUAUAGGACUGGGAUAACUUCGGGAAACCGGAGCUAAUACCGGAUGAUAUUUUGAACCGCAUGGUUCAAAAGUGAAAGACGGUCUUGCUGUCACUUAUAGAUGGAUCCGCGCUGCAUUAGCUAGUUGGUAAGGUAACGGCUUACCAAGGCAACGAUGCAUAGCCGACCUGAGAGGGUGAUCGGCCACACUGGAACUGAGACACGGUCCAGACUCCUACGGGAGGCAGCAGUAGGGAAUCUUCCGCAAAGGGCGAAAGCCUGACGGAGCAACGCCGCGUGAGUGAUGAAGGUCUUCGGAUCGUAAAACUCUGUUAUUAGGGAAGAACAUAUGUGUAAGUAACUGUGCACAUCUUGACGGUACCUAAUCAGAAAGCCACGGCUAACUACGUG